rnacentral:rRNA from 1 species
AACGAACGCUGGCGGCAGGCCUAACACAUGCAAGUCGAACGAAAAGCCCCCUUACGGGGGGUGGAAAGUGGCAGACGGGUGAGUAACGCGUGGGAACCUACCCAAGGGUACGGAAUAACCCAGGGAAACUUGGGCUAAUACCGUAUACGUCCCCCUUUGGAGACAUUGGGGGAGAAAGAUUUAUCGCCCCUGGAUGGGCCCGCGUCGGAUUAGCUUGUUGGUGGGGUAAUGGCUCACCAAGGCGACGAUCCGUAGCUGGUCUGAGAGGAUGAUCAGCCACACUGGGACUGAGACACGGCCCAGACUCCUACGGGAGGCAGCAGUGGGGAAUAUUGGACAAUGGGCGCAAGCCUGAUCCAGCCAUGCCGCGUGAGUGAAGAAGGCCUUAGGGUUGUAAAGCUCUUUCGGCGAGGAAGAUAAUGACGGUACUCGCAGAAGAAGCCCCGGCUAACUCCGUG